UGUUGGUCAAGAACGCUUGGGCUUAGGGAUGAAGGGACAUGAACAAAGGUUUGAGUAUGAAGGUGUCCCGGCAUAUUAAAAAACCUGCAAAUUACAUGGUCGUAGUCAUAUAAAUUGCAAGGUGGAAGCAAGAAAGGCAAGCAACCAAGAAAUCAACAUGACAAAAAAAUAAUACACCUAGGAAUCAACAGAUAGUUGAUCAAGAUGCAGAAAAGUCAAAAGGAAAAGUUAACGCACCACUCGAAAAAGGCCAGAACUGUGGGAUAGUGAAGAAUGCUAAUAUCAACAAAGAUGAGGAAGGAUUCACUCAAGUCACAAGGAAAAGAGGGAAAAAGUCAGGAAACAAAAACGUUACUGCAAUAACUGAGGUACAGUCAAAUACAAAAGGAAAGGAUAGUGCUACAAAGAAUCACACUGUCACUGAACUUCAAAAGGAAAAGGAACCACAACCUGAAGAACAGAAGCAGGAAAAGAAAGAUAUCAGGAAGAGCAAAAAGAAGAAACAAAAAGGGACGAAAAAUACUAUACUAAGAGUUAAAAAUAGAAUAUCGGCAAAGCGGAAAGUUAAGCACAUACCAGAAAAGAACAUCAUAGAGAAUAUGGAUAAAGAGAUUACACUCAAACAAAAAACAACAGACAAAAGAAUCACUCAAGACCUCGUCAAUAUCAAAAGAAGCAGAACACCAAUAACUCAACACCAUGCAAGAAGAUCAACUCAGCAAAGUGGAACAGAAUAAUCAAAGUGAUGAAGGGAGCUCCGGUAACCAAAUUAUGUCCCCUAUUACGACAGGCAUCGCAUGCAAACAAGAAAAAUGUGGUCUAAUUUCUAUAGACCUAGGCAGUAUUAAAACUAUUACUGCAAAACAUCAUGUAAAACAUGGCCCUGAUUUAGGGAAUAGCUCUGAAGAGGAAUCAUGGGAGGAUACAGAGGAAAACCAUAUCGAGGAUGAAUCAUCAGAUGAAAAAGUUGAAGAUAGUUACAUGGAGGUUGGGAAUAAAGAGGAAGAAUAUGUUGCAGACAGUUUGAUUGAAGCCGUUGCACCAGCUCCAAAGAAACCAAAAGAUCCUGUUGAGAAGGAAACAAAUGACACCAUUCAAAAGAAAGGAUUAUCUCCAAGGGGAAAAAAACACAAGAAAGAAAAGAAAGGGAAUAAAAACAGUAAUCCUCUCACCUUAACAGGGAAAUACAAAGAGAAGUCGACUAAUCAACCCUAAUAAUUUUUUAAUGAUCAAGGUCAUUAUAUGGAAUAUUAGGGGGAUGAAAUUAAAAGGUGCUUACCAAAGAUUAGUACAGCUAGUCAACCUUCAUAAAGUCGACUUGGUUGCUCUUCAAGAGCCUUUCCUGGAUAACAAUAAUAUUGAGGCUUUCAAGAGAGGCUUAGGAUUUGGUAAUAUUGUGUCCAAUAUACAUAGCAAAAUCUGGUGCUUCUAGAGAUCUAAUCUCAAUUGUACAGUUGAAUCCAAAAGUAGAUAACAAGUUACCCUCAAAUGUAAAUAUUCAGGAACUACUGAUCACAUAUGGAUAACUGUGGUAUAUGCUAGAUCUAGUUCGAACAAGAGGAAGAAACUAUGGAACAAACUUAGGACUCUUAAUUCUC
rnacentral:lncRNA from 1 species